GCGGCUGUUGUUAAAGCUAAUAAAGGCCUCAGCGCCACAAGGGCCUGAUUGUGACACACGCAAAGGACCGUCCCUCUGGAACCAUCAGUGUUGGUGAGGGAGGGCAGGUCUCGGAAAGAGGAAAUCACGAGCAAUAAUUACCUAGGCAUGUAAAGGACUCUCUCGGCCACCACAAAACCCACCCUGAAGAAGAGAUUGCUGGCUGGAAUGAACGGGAAAACCAGGAACAACAAGCCCACUAACACUUCCUUGUGCUCCAGUCUCUGAAACACACAAUAGUGAAGGACAAAUUAAUUUUUAAAAAAUGUCACUGCAGUCGGCAUUUAACCAUCUCUUUCAUUCUCAGGUUCUCAUUGACGGAAUGAACAGAUCAGACCAACGUAAACCCUUUGAUCAGUGAGCUGAAUUCAUCAGAGAAAGCCCUCAGGCUGACACCUCUGGCGUGUCCCACGUCUGCCACCCAGAAACCUCUGAUAAUUGUGCAGGAUCAGGGACCAUUACUCCUUGUUCUGGGCCGGCCCUACAGCCACCCUGUUUCUUGGUUCUGGUCCCUUUCAGAAUCUCUGUCCCCCCAGGCAACUGGCUUCCAGAGAGCAAAGCAGCUUGAUAGGAUCAAACUUACGAAGGCAUUGUGGAGAAUUUAAUUAUUGUCCUCUGUGAAAUAGAACUCAUUUAAACAGCUUUAACAAUAAAAAACAAAGCCCACCAGGAGAAGCAAAAUCUUAGCAUAAAAGAAACUAAAUGCUAAUGGUAAAAUUUGGUGCCAGUGAGGGAGACUAUUUGAAGAUUUUCUUAGCACUUCUCAAAUUAAGCCAGGCAGAACUCCACGGAGCUCACUGCUGUUGGGGACAGGGAGAUGAGGGUGGGAGUCAAGGAGCCCCUUGCCUCUUCUGGAAGACUCACGUGCAAACUGAGAACUCACAACACCAUGUCUUCCUUGUUCCUUCACCAGGUUCUUCAGUCUUCAAGAGCAUCUUUACCUCCUUCAUGGCCAUCAUCCCACUUGUAAUUACACACUUAUCUGUGUGUUUAUGGUCUUUAUAAAAUAUCUGUCUUCCCCAAGAGACUGUGAGCCAUGAGGGCAGGGAGAUGAUAGGCUGUGUUCCCUGGUGCAUGAUCUGUGUUUUAGUUCAAUGCCUGGCACUUACUGGUGCUCAGAAAUAUUUGUUGAAUAUGUCAGUGAAUGAAUAAAUAUAUUGGGCAAGAGAGAAAACUGAAUAGA
rnacentral:lncRNA from 1 species